rnacentral:rRNA from 1 species
AGCGAACGUUAGCGGCGCGCCUAACACAUGCAAGUCGCACGAGAAACGGAGCAAUCCGCGGUACAGUGGCGCACGGGUGAGUAACACGUGGAUGGACCUUCCCUGGAGUGGUGGAUAACCUGCCGAAAGGCGGGCUAAUACAGCAUGGGACCACGACGCUUUGGCGAUGUGGUGAAAGCGGGCCUCUAUAUAUAAGCUCGCGCUCCGGGGACGGGUCCGCGUCCCAUCAGCUAGUUGGUGAGGUAACGGCUCACCAAGGCAACGACGGGUAGCUGGUCUGAGAGGAUGGCCAGCCACACUGGAACUGAGACACGGUCCAGACUCCUACGGGAGGCGAGCAGUGGGGAAUCUUGCGCAAUGGGCGAAAGCCUGACGCAGCGACGCCGCGUGGGCGAAGAAGGCCU